GGAAGGAAGACGGCUCCUGUGUGGACUCAGAAGACGGAACUUGAUUACCUGGUAGUCCAGGGGCCCAAGGUGGACCUGGAGUUCAAGGUGAGCCUGGUCCCAGAAGUCAUGCCGGCAUGUCCGUUGACCCUUGACCUUUGGUUUUGUCGGGACUCCUGAUGACGUUUUGAGACAUCUACAAGUACAGCACCAGAAUUGUGCUCCUGAAGCAAGUCCGUUUUUCUUCCUUUUUUUCCCCGUGGGCAGUAGACAAUGUGUAAUAACAAUGUAAUAAUAGUGUAAUAACAAUGGUGUAGGUUCAGGCUGUGGGCAGUAGACAAUGUGUAAUAACAAACAGCGCCAGGGGUUUGUAAACUCAAUAAAGCAACUACACUAGAAUGCAAAAUGUAUAUAUUGUAAUAUCCCAGGAAUGUAGACUUAUACAACUUCUUUGUUUGUCAUGUCUUUAUUGUAAAAUAUGCGAUUCAACCACACAACAACCCCAAUGUCUCCCUUUUUUUCCCAGCAAAACACUUUUUUUUUUUUUUCUUAAAUAAACCUUCAUUUAUAAUAUCCAACAUUUACAUACAAGCAAAUAAAUAAUAAUCAAAAUAAGUACAGAAACACUACAAA